UCACCCUAUAACCUUUACGCAGCAAAAAGAAGAAACACACAACAGCUAAGUCCCGCUCAAAUUUUCACGCCUAAGUAUUCCCUCUCAAAUUUUCACUCCUAAGUAUCAAUUCCCUCUAACAAGAAGAAAACACAGCAGCUUCGCACCGCCACCUGCCGCCCCACCUGACCGUCGCGCCACCUGACGUCCCAUCCCACCCCACCGUCUCUCCACCUGCCGUCCUACCCCACCCCACCGUCGCACCACCGGUCGUCCCACCCCACCAUCGCACAACUGACGCCUCCGCCACCAAGCCCUCCGCAGCGACGUCCUCUGACUCCCUCUGCUGUCGUCGACGACGAGGAAUAACAACCACCACGAAAGAGGAAGUAACUAUAUAGAGAGAAGGGCUUCACAAGAGGAAGUAACUAUAUUAGCCACCACGAACAGAGUUGGGCGGAGGAAUAACAGUGGUCGUCGGAAAAAGAAAAAACAGGUUGGAAGGUAAACGGUGAUAGAGAAAUUGGCGCAGAGAUUAGCUUGAAGGGCCCUACACAACCUGAUGAUAAGCAAUGUGGCUACUUUGUGAUGAGGUUUAUGAGAGAUAUUAUCAAAGGGUCUCAAAAUACGGCAGCCUCAACUUUUCACUUGUCAUCACUGUUUAAGGGUGUUACUACUUAUUCUCAAAACCAACUGAACGAGAUUCGUGAAGAAUGGGCAAGGUGUCUGAUUAAGAAUGCAUUGGUUGGAUAGAUGCUCCUACAGAUGCUUUCCAUGAAGUGAAAUAGAGAUAUGGCAGGAGAAGUGAUGUUUUGUAAUCAAUCUUUAGAAUUAAGCACUAAUAGCUAGAACUUAUGUUUUUGUAAACUGUGAUUGUACAAAUAUUUUGGAUGUUAUAUUUUGGCUGGUGAUUGUACAAAUAUUUUGUGAAGUUAUAUGGUUGGAUGGUGGUUGCAUA